AUGUACUUCCCGCCCACAUUCUUCGACAUUAUGGUGCAUCUGCUGGUCCAUAUCGUGGAGGAUAUCAUCCAGCUCGGGCCGACGUUCCUGCAUAGCAUGAUGCCGUUCGAAAGGAUGAAUGGUAUCAUCAAAGGAUACAUUCGGAACAUGUCACGUCCAGAGGGAAGCAUAGCCAGGGGCUUUCUGACCGAAGAGUGCAUCUCCUACUGCAUGAAUUAUCUAGGCAUCGAGAACCCCAUUGGUCUGCCCAUCAACAGGCACCUUGGCAGGCUCGCUAGAUGGGGUCACCGCGAGGGUCCCUGCGAAAUGCAUGUCGACUUUGCGGGUCGACUCGCCGACUUUGAAAGAGCAAACCUAGUCGCUCUACAACACAUAGAUGCGGUCGAUCCUUGGGUGGUAGAGCACAAAACCUUUAUUGAGAAGACGUACAAUGACUGA
rnacentral:rRNA from 1 species